GUAAUACACCCUAAUCACUUAUGUCUAUUUUUCAUAUUCAAAUCUUUUCAUCUUCUUCUCCAAAUUUCAAUUAUUUGUUUUCAUCUUCUUUCUCAUUCAAAAACUUUAAUCCACCUCAUCAAAAUUCACCAUUAUCACUCCUCAAGGACUGAAUCAUCCUGGAAAGCACAAACUUUGAGACAGUACUUAAAGAUAAUACAUUUGUUUAUCCAAAUAAAUAAAUUUUGAAUAGUGUAUAAACUGCUUAAAAAGAACCGAAAACCACAAAGUUUAAACUGUUAUUACAACUACAUAUUAAAAUAAUUAUUGACGAAUCAACAAUUCAAUGUCGCAGUUUUGACUUGUUCCGAACCAUCCACCAUUACAAAGAUUUUGCAGAAAAUUUGUCCCAUUUAAAAUAGAUUCGUUCGGUUCAGUUUGGCCUCUACCAUAUGCCUUCCAUGGAAGACUUGAUGAAAUUCAUAACAUUAAACCUUCAUUUAUUAUUUUUUUUCCUAUCAUUGACAAAUUUUAAUUUUAUCUUGAGGUAAUUUGUGAAAAAAAUAGUGUGUAUUGAAAGCAAACUAUGAUUCUAAAUAAUUUGAUAGAGAGUACUAAGAAAUUGAACGUACUGAAUAAUUUAUUGGGUGCAAAUAGAAUCUCCCGGUAAUUAUCUCAAAUUUGUUUUCUCAUACCUUUUAAAGCAUGUUGGGCCUAAAGGAACAACAGCAACCCUCAUAUUUCAAUUAAAAGAUGGGUAAAAGUCCAACCUUGAACUUGGCCCAACCCAAUCCAACUUUGAAGUGCUGAGGAUAGCCCUAAUUACCCAACCAAUGCAUACAAAAAAGCCCUAGUCAAUGUCUGCACCUAUGACUAGUAUAUGUACAAGCACUGGACAGUUUAACCCUCAUAGACCCGUUUCAAAUCCCAGACAGGGCAGAACAAGGGCAGAGGAUCAGCAGAUGAAAAGAGUGACCACCAUACACCAGUUAUCUUUAGCGAACUAUUAACAUAUUUUAAUCAAUUUUUUUUCUUUACCAAUACAUCUAAUUGAAUCUCUAAAAUGUGAAGAACAAAAAUUAAAACAUUAAAAACAAGUUUAUUGAAAAUCAAAUAACACUAAAUAACAGCCAAAUAACAAAUUUAAAAAAAUAAAACUAAACAAACCCUAAUCAAGUACUGCUGAGAUAAAAACAUUAUCCUUAUUCUAAAACCCUAAUCAAGUAAAAAUGAAUUUGCCUGAAAAUGGGAGAGAAAGCACAAUGAAGAAACUUAAUUCAACAGUAACAUUACUGACUUAUUGAAGGUAGUUUGUACAAAGAUCUUAUGAAAUACUCUUCAGCUCAGGUCUCCAUGUAUAUCAGCAUGAUUGUUCUCAGGAAAACAAAUGUUUGUAGUGAUCAUCAUAAGAGAUACCAAGAUCUUGAAAGUCUACUUAAUAAUAAAGAGAACAACCAAAGACUAUCGUAUCCAAAAACCCAAAAUCAUAUGAAAACAUAUUGAUAAACUUUAAUAAAACCAUGAAGAUUCAAUGAGGAAAUUUUUGAAUUUCUUAACUUUACUAAAACUUAUUAGCAAACAAGCAGAGGGUUAGUUCGAAAAUUUUAAAACAAUCAAAAUGAUGCAUUAAAAGAUCUUUCUCAAGCCUCUUCAGUUCAGGUCUCCAUAAAUUUUCAGCAUGAAAUUUCUCAGCAGAACGAAAGUUUCUUUUCAUCAUCAUCAGAAGCACAAGCAAUUAAUCAACAGACCAAAAAGCAUUAAAAAACAAAAAA